UAGGAUCUACCUAGUAGUACGGAAUAAUUGUUGGAAACGACAACUAAUACCGUAUACGCCCUACGGGGGAAAAAUUUAUUGCUAUUAGAUGAGCCUAUAUUAGAUUAGCUAGUUGGUGGGGUAAUAGCCUACCAAGGUAAUGAUCUAUAGCUGAUCUGAGAGGAUGAUCAGCCACACUGGAACUGAGAUACGGUCCAGACUCCUACGGGAGGCAGCAGUGGGGAAUAUUGGACAAUGGGCGAAAGCCUGAUCCAGCCAUGCCGCAUGAGUGAAGAAGGCCUUUGGGUUGUAAAGCUCUUUUAGUGAGGAAGAUAAUGACGGUACUCACAGAAGAAGUCCUGGCUAACUCCGUGCCAGCAGCCGCGGUAAUACGGAGAGGGCUAGCGUUAUUCGGAAUUAUUGGGCGUAAAGGGCGCGUAGGCUGGUUAAUAAGUUAAAAGUGAAAUCCCGAGGCUUAACCUUGGAAUUGCUUUUAAAACUAUUAAUCUAGAGAUUGAAAGAGGAUAGAGGAAUUCCUGAUGUAGAGGUAAAAUUCGUAAAUAUUAGGAGGAACACCAGUGGCGAAGGCGUCUAUCUGGUUCAAAUCUGACGCUGAAGCGCGAAGGCGUGGGGAGCAAACAGGAUUAGAUACCCUGGUAGUCCACGCUGUAAACGAUGAAUGUUAAAUAUGGGGAGUUUACUUUCUGUAUUACAGCUAACGCGUUAAACAUUCCGCCUGGGGACUACGGUCGCAAGAUUAAAACUCAAAGGAAUUGACGGGGACCCGCACAAGCGGUGGAGCAUGUGGUUUAAUUCGAUGCAACGC
rnacentral:rRNA from 1 species